UUUUAUAAAUUAUUUAAUAAAUACUUUUAUUUUUUUUCUUUAAUUUAAUUGCGGCUUUUAAAUUACUUGAUGAAUUUUGUUAAUCUGGAGGCCUAUUCUAAAAUAGCUACUGCCUACUGCUUAGUAGAUAUUUUUAGAGGCGUUAAAUAAAAUAUGAACAAAACUUAAAUGAAAUCGCUAACUGAACCCACCAAUAGCAGGUUGUUGAACACCUGUAGUUUGACUAUCCUAUUUGGGGCUUCCUGUUCUUACCAAUUUUCUAAAUUACUGUAUCUUCAUAUAAAAAUCACAGAAAAAUGUUUAAAAGCAAAACAACAUAAAUAAAAAUUUGUGUUCAGUGUUCCCCAUUUGCAACGACCGUUUGUGUUCCCUGGAAAGAAUAAAUAACACAAUACUAAAAUUAGCAUUGCAGGUCUUUUUAGAAUACACAGUUCACAUUGCGACAUUCUGUUCAAAUAACAGCAACAGGCAUAAUAUGAACAAGUUAGAUGCUCGGAUUGGAUUGUUUGCUGUUUCUUGCUCUUUUACAUAUGGUUACUAAAUAUUGAAGUCAAAAGAAUAUAAAAUUGUUUUUUCAGAUGGUGUAAAAAUACAGAGUUGCCUGAUUGUAUCCAUAGAGGCAAAUUAGUAUAUCGAACAAAUUUUCGAAGCUAUAAGAU